rnacentral:rRNA from 1 species
AGCGGCGGAUGGGUGAGUAACACGUGGGGAACCUGCCCCUAAGUCUGGGAUACCAUUUGGAAACAGGUGCUAAUACCGGAUAAUAAAGCAGAUCGCAUAAUCAGCUUUUGAAAGGCGGCGUAAGCUGUCGCUAAGGGAUGGCCCCGCGGUGCAUUAGCUAGUUGGUAAGGUAACGGCUUACCAAGGCGACGAUGCAUAGCCGAGUUGAGAGACUGAUCGGCCACAUUGGGACUGAGACACGGCCCAAACUCCUACGGGAGGCAGCAGUAGGGAAUCUUCCACAAUGGACGCAAGUCUGAUGGAGCAACGCCGCGUGAGUGAAGAAGGUUUUCGGAUCGUAAAGCUCUGUUGUUGGUGAAGAAGGAUAGAGGUAGUAACUGGCCUUUAUUUGACGGUAAUCAACCAGAAAGCCACGGCUAACUACGUGCCAGCAGCCGCGGUAAUACGUAGGUGGCAAGCGUUGUCCGGAUUUAUUGGGCGUAAAGCGAGCGCAGGCGGAAAAAUAAGUCUAAUGUGAAAGCCCUCGGCUUAACCGAGGAACUGCAUCGGAAACUGUUUUUCUUGAGUGCAGAAGAGGAGAGUGGAACUCCAUGUGUAGCGGUGGAAUGCGUAGAUAUAUGGAAGAACACCAGUGGCGAAAGGCGGCUCUCUGGUCUGCAACUGACGCUGAGGCUCGAAAGCAUGGGUAGCGAACAGGAUUAGAUACCCUGGUAGUCCAUGCCGUAAACGAUGAGUGCUAAGUGU